AGAAAACAAUUUAUUUUGGCUGUGUUGAACUGGGAGGAGGCAUGCAGAGGGGAGUACUCCAGGCAGAUGCUUGUAAGUCUGGAUAACAGAAGUUAUAGAAGGAAGAGCAAGAUUUUGAGCUUGUGGUGGUGGUUAGGGAGAAUUGUUACACAGGUAAAUGUAUAGAAGAGCUCCAGAAGGGCAGCACAGCCUGGAUGGGCUUGGGAUCAAACAGCUGGUAAUGGAGAGAUGAGGGAAGUUAGCACCAUCACUGUCAGGCAGUAACAUGCCCUUACCCUUCAUGAAAGGUAGCAUUUCACACUUACUUCACAAUAAGUGACCUAUCCCUGAAAAGUGCUUCAAAAGCAGGCUUUUUUCUGUUUUAUGAAAUAUAAAUGAAUUAAUGCAAGGUAGCCUAGGCUGUAGUGUUUAUUUGCCAUUGGAGUGGGAUUUUCCAUUGAAUUGACUGGUUGAAUUGGCUGUUCCACGUGUCUCCAUGCAGAUCUCCCACUGGCUUUCUCUGUACCACAAGUUAGUUGAGAACACCAGUGAACCUUGUGUGAAGGCUGAACUAACUGCAAGCAGAUCUCUGGAGCAGGUUGACCUCUGCUAACAUUCCAGCUUGCAGUAAUUCAUUAAUUCAUGCUUAAUCUUAUUCCAUAUGCACUCUAGAGCUUUAUCUACCUCCUGUUGGCAGCAUUACUUCUUUUUGGUACAGAAAUAAUUUGAGGGUUUACUUGCACUGUGAAGCUGCUACCAUGUUUCCUCAAUAAUCCUCAUUUAUUGUGCAGGACUAACACUGAAGCAGCUUCACACUGUUUGUCACGAUAGUGAAAAGCACCUGUGCAGGUUAAUCAGCUAAUUAGACAGUGAAGUAUUUGGCAGUGACCGUGGAGGCAGUGGCUGUACACAGCAAGGUGGUUGUAACCACUUCAGCAGCUACCAGCUGCAGGAAGAAGAGGCACACUCAGAAGCAUGGAAAUUCCGAUUAGAGUUCCCAUCAGCCCUUGGACAUCAUGGAUGUUAGCACUGGAGUCUGCAGAGAAGAACCUACAUUUCAGUGUUAUUGCACAGACUGAUGGAAACCUGAUUGACACUCAGACAGCUGCCAAGAAUACUUGGAAUUCACUAUAAAAUAACAGUGUGGUAAGUGCAUUAGACUAUCAUCCUGACAGGCUUAUAUAUUUAUUAUGCUAAUUAUGUGGGUGUAGUAAUUGUAUUAGGAAUAUCUAGAUAUUUUCUAUCAGUAAAAUCAGUA
rnacentral:lncRNA from 1 species